UACGUAGGGUGCAAGCGUUAAUCGGAAUUACUGGGCGUAAAGCGUGCGCAGGCGGUGAUGUAAGACAGAGGUGAAAUCCCCGGGCUCAACCUGGGAACUGCCUUUGUGACUGCAUCGCUGGAGUACGGCAGAGGGGGAUGGAAUUCCGCGUGUAGCAGUGAAAUGCGUAGAUAUGCGGAGGAACACCGAUGGCGAAGGCAAUCCCCUGGGCCUGUACUGACGCUCAUGCACGAAAGCGUGGGGAGCAAACAGGAUUAGAUACCCUGGUAGUCCACGCCCUAAACGAUGUCAACUGGUUGUUGGGGAUUAAUUUCUUCAGUAACGAAGCUAACGCGUGAAGUUGACCGCCUGGGGAGUACGGCCGCAAGGUUGAA
rnacentral:rRNA from 1 species